GCAAGCUCCGCCUCCCAGGUUCACGCCAUUCUCCUGCCUCAGCCUCUCCGAGUAGCUGGGACUACAGGCGCCCGCCACCAUGCCCGGCUAAUUUUUUUUUGUAUUUUUAGUAGAGACGGGGUUUCACCGUGGUCUCGAUCUUCUGACCUCGUGAUCCGCCCGCCUUGGCCUCCCAAAGUGCUGGGAUUACAAGCAUGAGCCACCGCGCCCGGCCUUAGAGAUUAAGUUUCAACAUGAAUUUUGAGACAAAAACAUUCCAACGAUUGCAAUGAAGAUACCACUGUGUAGUAUGGCUGGAGUGCAGUGGAACAUGAUCAUGGCUUACUGCAACCUCUGCAUCCUGGGUUCAAGCAAUCCUCCCACCUCAGCCCCAGAUUAGCCGGGGCUAUAGGCACUUGCCACCACACCUGGCUAAUUUAUAUAUAUAUUUUUUGUAGGGCUGGGGUCAAACUCCUGGGCCCAAGUGAUCCUCCUGCCUCUGCCUCCCAAAGCACUGAGAUUACAGGUGUGAGCCAUCACAUGUGGCCAAAAACAUCCUUUAUCUUCUCCAAUUGGGCUGCUUACCCCCUAGGCUUACUACACAUUUUUUAUUCUGGAAAUGUAUUUCAGCUGGCUAUACACUUCAUUGUUCUCCAGUAUUGGAUCCCUUGUUUUCUGGAUGCCAUGUUUACCUCUUCAGUUUAAUUCCCUUUUUCGCAUGGAGCCAUCUUCCCAUAGUUUCUCCAGAGAACAAAAAUGGGGAAAUUUGAGACCUUCCAUGUCUGACUCUGUUCUCAUGUGAUAAUUUAGAUAAAACAAUAACAUUCUUUAAAUUACUUUCCAUAUCCAUCUAUUUGUUUAAAACUACAUUUCCAUUCAGAGACUUUAGGAAGAGUAAGAAUCUAAUGGCAUUGGCAGAAUUGAGAACAUCCUUCUAGCAAGGGGAUUCCAGUGGAAGUUGGGAGAGGUUCCCCCAUCUUUUGGCUUUAUAAUAACACAUGUCUUCUCAAUUAUCAUGGAUAUCCCCUACCAUAGGGCCUGUGUUUGAAGUGUCAUCUUGAGUGAGUCCUAGUGCUGUGCCACUUGCUUCUACUUCUGCCAAGGAGCAGAGAAUACUGGACUUUUUUCCAUAUUGAAAUGAUAGAUACUGUAUUAGUCUUUAAGUUUGAAAACUAUGUAUUUUGAGUAUUUUCAAAAAGGUUAGUGUGUGAUACGUCUUUUUUUAAAACUUCUCUGUGUUUGAAACUUCCAGAGAUUUCUUUAAAGUAUAGAGAGUAGACUGAUACAGAGGUCUCUCUCUACUUGUUUUUUUGCAAUAUGCCCCAAGUACAAUAUUUUUUCAAAAUUUCACAGAUAUUGUUAUAUGAAUGAAUCUUUAGUUUGUUGAAUCUUUUGCCUUGUUUGAUAUUGACUAUAUUGACUCACAAUAAACAUGUAUUAAG